rnacentral:rRNA from 1 species
AAUGGGUCAGCGACUUAUAUUCUGUAGCAAGGUUAACCGUAUAGGGGAGCCGUAGGGAAACCGAGUCUUAACCGGGCGUUAAGUUGCAGGGUAUAGACCCGAAACCCGGUGAUCUAGCCAUGGGCAGGUUGAAGGUUGGGUAACACUAACUGGAGGACCGAACCGACUAAUGUUGAAAAAUUAGCGGAUGACCUGUGGCUGGGGGUGAAAGGCCAAUCAAACCGGGAGAUAGCUGGUUCUCCCCGAAAGCUAUUUAGGUAGCGCCUCGUGAAUUCAUCUCCGGGGGUAGAGCACUGUUUCGGCUAGGGGGCCAUCCCGGCUUACCAACCCGAUGCAAACUGCGAAUACCGGAGAAUGUUAUCACGGGAGACACACGGCGGGUGCUAACGUCCGUCGUGAAGAGGGAAACAACCCAGACCGCCAGCUAAGGUCCCAAAGUCAUGGUUAAGUGGGAAACGAUGUGGGAAGGCCCAGACAGCCAGGAUGUUGGCUUAGAAGCAGCCAUCAUUUAAAGAAAGCGUAAUAGCUCACUGGUCGAGUCGGCCUGCGCGGAAGAUGUAACGGGGCUAAACCAUGCACCGAAGCUGCGGCAGCGACGCUGAUGCGUUGUUGGGUAGGGGAGC